GAAAUGCGAUAAGUAUGUGAAUUGCAGAAUUCAGUGAAUCAUCGAAUCUUUGAACGCACAUUGCGCCCGCCAGUAUUCUGGCGGGCAUGCCUGUUCGAGCGUCAUUACAACCCUCAGGCCCCCGGGCCUGGCGUUGGGGAUCGGCGGAAGCCCCCUGCGGGCACAACGCCGUCCCCCAAAUACAGUGGCGGUCCCGCCGCAGCUUCCAUUGCGUAGUAGCUAACACCUCGCAACUGGAGAGCGGCGCGGCCACGCCGUAAAACACCCAACUUCUGAAUGUUGACCUCGAAUCAGGUAGGAAUACCCGCUGAACUUAAGC
rnacentral:misc_RNA from 1 species